UUCAGUAGCACGCUCAAGACCCGAAGCGGAGUGAUCUAGCCAUGGGCAGGUUGAAGCGGAGGUAAGACUUCGUGGAGGACCGAACCCACCAGGGUUGAAAACCUGGGGGAUGACCUGUGGUUAGGGGUGAAAGGCCAAUCAAACUCCGUGAUAGCUGGUUCUCCCCGAAAUGCAUUUAGGUGCAGCGUCGUGUGUUUCUUGCCGGAGGUAGAGCACUGGAUAGGCGAUGGGCCCUACCGGGUUACUGACCUUAGCCAAACUCCGAAUGCCGGUAAGUGAGAGCGCGGCAGUGAGACUGUGGGGGAUAAGCUCCAUGGUCGAGAGGGAAACAGCCCAGAGCAUCGACUAAGGCCCCUAAGCGUACGCUAAGUGGGAAAGGAUGUGGAGUCGCAGAGACAACCAGGAGGUUGGCUUAGAAGCAGCCACCCUUGAAAGAGUGCGUAAUAGCUCACUGGUCUAGUGAUUCCGCGCCGACAAUGUAGCGGGGCUCAAGCGUACCGCCGAAGUCGUGUCAUU
rnacentral:ncRNA from 1 species